AUUGAACGCUGGCGGCAUGCCUUACACAUGCAAGUCGAACGGCAGCACGGGAGCAAUCCUGGUGGCGAGUGACGAACGGGUGAGUAAUAUAUCGGAACGUGCCCAGUCGUGGGGGAUAACGCAGCGAAAGCUGUGCUAAUACCGCAUACGAUCUAUGGAUGAAAGCGGGGGACCGCAAGGCCUCGCGCGAUUGGAGAGGCCGAUAUCAGAUUAGCUAGUUGGUGGGGUAAAGGCCCACCAAGGCGACGAUCUGUAGCUGGUCUGAGAGGACGACCAGCCACACUGGAACUGAGACACGGUCCAGACUCCUACGGGAGGCAGCAGUGGGGAAUUUUGGACAAUGGGCGCAAGCCUGAUCCAGCAAUGCCGCGUGCAGGAUGAAGGCCUUCGGGCUGUAAACUGCUUUUGUACGGAACGAAACGGUGAGCUUUAAUACAGUUUGCUAAUGACGGUACCGUAAGAAUAAGCACCGGCUAACUACGUGCCAGCAGCCGCAGUAAUAC
rnacentral:rRNA from 1 species